GCGAGAGUGGCGAAAUUGGUAGACGCGCAGUGUUGAGGUCGCUGUGGAUAUAUCCGUGAGGGUUCGAGUCCCUUCUCUCGCACCA
rnacentral:tRNA from 2 species